GCUGGUGAUUUGGUGACCAUUGAGACUUCAUUUAGAUAACACACGUCUUCAAAAUUAAUAGUUUAAAAUAAAAUAUUGGGGAGUUAAAAAUUGAAAAGUGGAACGCUAAAAUGUAUAUACAAACCUAUUCUAUUACUUUCCUCUGGGCAAAGUCUUAAGAAAAAUAUAUAUUGAAACUGUAGGAGAUUAUAGUGGGUUUAACGACAACGAGACAGCAAUUAAACAACAAAAAACACACAAGGACAGCUAGUUGGCAACAUAUAUAGUGUUCACCAAUAGAUAGGUGUAUACACAACAUGCCAAUUUCUAAAUCAUCCCUUAUUUCUUUAUCAUUGUGAAUAAUUUAUCCCAGAUAAUAGAAUACAUGUAUUACAUGUCUUUGAUUUAACAGAACAAAUGAUAAAAGAUCUGGCAUUAAAACGUGACUUCUCAAUAUAAUUUAAAAAUUGAGGAGAAAGCCAGAAUAUGAAAGUUAUACAAUAUAAAGAAUACCAAUCUUAAAGUUUUACCACUUAGAGGUUUAUUGUCCCCCUUCUUUUAACCUACAAGAAAACUUCCUAAGAUCCGAUGAUUAAAUAUCUACCUUAUUUUUCCGAAAUGUUCAUAUAUGAUAUGUAUCAAUAUGGCGUCAAGUGUUUAAACACUUAUCAAAUCGGUGUGCACGUUAAAUAAAUAUAAAUAAAUAAAUGUUUAAAAAUGAUGCAAUUUUAUUAUCAAUCUAAAAAUAUUAAUCAUGAAAAAAAAAUAUAUAUGCAUAUAUUAAAUGACUGAAGCAAUUAAAAUUCUUAAGGAUAUUGUUAAAAUAUUGUUGAAAACUGAGACUACUAUAACUGAAAAUAAUACGUAAUAUUGAUGAUACUAGUAUAAGCAAGUGUGACAAACCAUAUAUACCCAAAUCAAUCAAAAAUUUGUUGUUUGGGAUUAUUCAUGGUUGACUAGUUCCAUAUUUACCAGUGACAUAUGUGUCCUAAUUAUUAAGAAAAGGGACAGAAAAAGCAUUAAUCUAAAAUAGCACUAUAUUUUCAAAAUUCACUGCAUGAUUUAAACUGCUUUAAAGUGUUUCAUUUUAUUUUAUCUUUGUGCAUAUACGAAAAAUUGAUAACAGGUUAAACAUCAGUGUUCAUGACUUGCGACUAUUAUAUUUCUUGUGAAAUUGAUAGAUGAGCGGAUUUUCACAAAUACCGAACUAAAGAAUAUAGCGUAAACGUCAAUUAAUGGACAAGCAACCCAACGAGAAAAAUAAGAUAUAAGAGGCAUCUACAUGUACAUGUAUUUCUAGUUUUGAGUUAAAGAAAUCAUUCAAGGUCAUAUGAUUCUAUUCAGAUUUGUGCGUUUUUCGAUUUACGAAUAAGUCAUUAAGAUAAAAAAAAAAGUAAUUGAAGCAAAAAAAAAAAAAGAUACAUGAAAUAAAGUAACAACAUAAGUUUACAAAUACAUACCUAGGUGCAUUUAAUAAAAACAACAUUUGAACUCAAUAUUAUUAACAUUUUUUUUUCAAUUGUAAUUGUAUGUGUAUGUAAAAUAUACGGAAAUGACACGGCUGGGUAUUGUAAAGUUACUGAAGGAAGAUUAGUGUCAGGUGCAUAUCCCCGGGCGAAGAAUUUACUGAUUUGUCAAAACGGUCAGGUGUAAUAUGUCAAAUUGUAAAGGUUUGUAUCGCGCCCAUCUCUUCUUUUUCCGACGUAGUCGGUAUAGUUUUAGUUUGUGCCCUUUGAACUUAAGGACGCUUAACUAUGGCAACAGAAUACGCAUGCUCGAAAAUCCUGUCUUUGAUUGGACAAAAUGCUGUCAUGGUGGGUGAUUUGGUUGUGUUUGAAAAAAACGUCUCGUUAAUUAUAUCGUGAUGGAAAGCAAGUGAAAAACUAUAAAUAUUUGAACUAGAUCUUACAAAGAUUUAUAUUUUUAUUAAAAUAAUUGUUUCUCCAAUAGCUCUUUGCAUCCAUGACAGCUGUUUAUUCGGAACAAUUAUAUAAUUUUUAAUGUAAACUUUGUUGGACGAACGUACAUGACUUUUAGAACGCACAUACACAUGUGAGAUUUCCGCGGGGUAACACAAACAGAAAAAUCGUUAUUUAAAUGGUAAAUCAGUUAUUUAAAUAUAAUUGGAAUAGUCACAAAACAAUUUGUAAUGUUCUUUUGUUGGUAAUUCAAUGAUUUUUAGAUAGUUACAGCAUUGUUGUUCACAAGAUGAAGGCAGUGAACGGGCGUUGCCACCAAGGACAAAUUGUGUCAAACUAUGCAGGUUUUCAGUGCACUGCAAUCGCCUUCUUGUAGUUACAUUCAGAUGGAGAUUUAAUUAAAGAGGUCCUGCAUCAUUAAGUCAUUGUGCUUCUGAAGGUUAUCGAAAUGAUAGUUUUAAACAUUUACUCAAAUUUAAAUACGUCGGAUAUCUUUUUUAAAGAUAGUUCUUGUUUUUUAUAAUAUGAAUUGC
rnacentral:lncRNA from 1 species